rnacentral:tRNA from 1 species
GGUGGCUCAGUGGUAGAGUGUUUGCCUAGUAUGCAUAAGGCCCUGGGUUCGAAUACUUAGCACCA